rnacentral:rRNA from 1 species
UACGUAGGGGGCAAGCGUUGUCCGGAAUCAUUGGGCGUAAAGCGCACGUAGGCGGUCUGUUAUGUCGGAUGUGAAAGCCCUUGGCUUAACUGAGGAAGUGCAUCCGAAACUGGCAGGCUAGAGUACUAAAGAGGGUCGCGGAAUUCCCGGUGUAGAGGUGAAAUUCGUAGAUAUCAGGAGGAACACCGGUGGCGAAGGCGGAUCUCUGGGCCGAUAUUGACGCUGAGGAGCGAAAGCGUGGGGAGCGAACAGG